ensembl:lncRNA
GGGGUUGGAAAUAGACGAUCUUGGAGGUCCCUUCCAACCCAAACCAUUCUAUGAUUCUACGAUAUAUGUUGAUAUUCAUGACCAUGGAAAAGUCCUAUGGUCCUCUCAGAGUGUUACCUUAAUCUCAGAUAUGAUUUUGUGUGCAGAGGCUGCUAUUUUGGAAAAUUAAAGGAUUUCAGUGACCUAAGAUGUCAGCUACCAGCACAGAAUGCUGAGUUUGUGAGAUGCAGCAAAGUUAAGGAGGGAUGCAAUUGCUCAGUUGGAGGUGAAAAGGAAAACUCAGCUCUAACAAGACAAGCUACAGACAAGGAUGGUGGGCUGUGCUGGGAAAAUCUGUGACUGAGGAGCAGAAGGAGGAAACUCACUGACAGCAUCAAAGGACCAUUGUACCCCAACUGCCUACAGUGAAAGAAACGACCCUUCACCCCUCCAGUUUGAAAUCACAAGGGAGGUGAAGGGACACACCACACUAGAGGCUGAUGGUCAAAUGAAGGAAUCGCAAUCACCAGAGCCCAGUUGUCUCUACUGGAGAGCAUCAGUCAGGGAGUUGACAAGUGAGCUGCCCUGGGGAAGGAAGCUUCUUGGGAGUAAUUUUAUCAGGGGAGAAUAAUUUCAGUAAACCUGGUAUUCAAAGUUGCUGAAGAUUUUGCUUUGCUUCUUGAGAACAUCAUAUGGCAUAUGCAGAACAACCAGAGGAUCAGGCCCAGCCAGCAUGGGUUCAUGAAAAGUAGGUAGUCAGCAGGACCAGGGAGGUGAACAGCCCUUCUAUACUCAGAACUGGGGAGGCCUCAUAUCAAGUGCUGUGUUCAGUUUUUGGCCCCUCGCUACAAGAAGGACGCUGAGGUGCUGGAGCAUGUCCGGAGAGGGGCAGUAAUAUUGAUAAAGGGUCUGGAGCACAAGCCUUAUGAAGAACAGCCAGAAGAACUCACAUUGUUCAAUUCAGAGAAGAAGAGGCUCGGGGGAGACCUUAUCACUCUCUACAAAGACCUGAAAGGAUGUUGUGAUGAGAUGGGGAUCGGCCUCUUCUCCCAGAAUUUUCUGUUUGAAAGAAUCUCCACUUUUCUGCCACCAAAUUGUCAUGGGGCUCAUUACCUCCGAUGAGAUGAGCAAUGGUGUGGAAUAACUAAACUGACCUCCUCAAAGAAACUUGCCUGUCAGGGAUAACACAGGAGAACGUGAGCUGAAGGCUCCCUAUGGCAGAGAAGGGAAAAUUAAAUGAAGGUCUCCUUGAUCCUGAGGACAUCAGCUCAGUGAGCAUUGAUGGGAACACCAUGCUGUUUGUGAUUCUCCACCCCUAGUCAAAAAAGACUUGUUCUCAGCACAGCUUUUGAAAGAACCUGGCACCUUUGCAUUCUGGACAAUGGAUGGAGCACUAGCUUCUGUCAGGAGCAGAUUGCUGGAGCUGAUGCUGGCUGGUAAUUCAAGUUGCACUUCUGCUGUGCAACUGUAAGGUGAAGGAGACAUUGUGAAGAAACCGAAAAGAUGGGUAAAAGACACAGAAAUAUUUCCCUCUGAGAAGCUGCUUAGAGCAAGUUACAAGAAGUUGAGAAGGAAAAUGCAGUUCCCCUCCCUGAUGUGCAGCAAUCUGGUAGUCUCUACUAAUAACCAGGAGCAUGAGUUCAUCAAGAUGUUGUUUUCUGGAUUUAAAUCAAGAACAUCAUUGAAAUCUGCUUUUGCUGUCAGACAUGAGCUAUCCCUUAGGAGGUAAGGACAGGACACCACCUGGAAUAUCCAAGUAGGAUCAUGCUGGUCAUGAUGGAAAAUUGGUGUAAUGUCACAAUGGAGCUGCAAAGCUACUCGAGGCAUCCAUGAGACCUCAGGGUGGAACUGAUAGGAGCUCCCAUUUUGUUAGACCUGGAGUAUUCCAAACCUGUCCACCAUGGGAGAGUUCUGCUCAUGUUGGAUAGCUAUCAAAGUCCAUUUGUCUCUCUCCUACAGGCAAGGAGCUGAAGCAGUAGCUGGCAUAGGUCAAGAUGGUGCUGCUGAAUCAGUUGCUGCUGAGGGAAAAUGACAUGAUUCCCACUGUGUGUGCUAUCUAUGUCUUGUCAUACUUCUGUGAAGGAGAAAAGUUGUGAAUCUCCUGGUACUUCUGAUCAUUUCACAAGUGCAUGUCCUUUAAGGUGAAGAGGGACCAUUAGUCUCUGACCAUGCUUCAAGUGGGUCACAGAGUCUCAUGAAGUUACCGGUGCAACAAGGCAUAUAACUUGCAAGUUAGGAAUAAGACAAAACAAGUCAGCUAGAAUGAAAGCCCUGGGGUGUUACUGCUGCUGCAUCCAUGGAGGGCAGAGGAAUGUGCUCAGAGACUGCCCAGCCAGCACUGGCCAUGCGCUUGCUUCUCUUCUGGCCCAGGCAAAGGUCCUGGCCAUCCUCUUUAAAGUAUCCCUAAGUAUGAGAGGAGCAGUGCUGCCAGGAAUAUUUGCUUGUGAAGCGGUUAUAAAGUGGAAAAUGUUAUCUUAAUGAGCUCUUUCAGUCACCAAAUGCUAGUAAAGCGGAAUCUUUCAGUCACCAAAUGCUAGUAAAGCAGAAUCUUUCAAUUUUGUUCUUUUUUUUCCCCCUUGGUUCUACAUGGUUUACAAGCUUAGGAUAACUGAAGAAUACAACUUGCCUUUAGAGAAACCUCUUCCCACCGUUGACAAUUCAAGAUGUUAGACUUAUUCAAAAUGACAUUUGCAUGUCUAAGUGGAUAGAUCACUUUCAGUGUGAGAGUUACAAAGUCUGCUCUCAUCUGUCACUGAGUUUAUGGAAGUGCAUCUUCUCAGAACAAGCUUCUCUUUUUCUUUCUUUAAGUUCUUACACACAAACUUCACUAACUCCCGUUACAAAAUUAAAACUGUGCUGACACGCAGUUUUUUGUAGUCUUUUGAGUGGUUUAUUGUGUAAUGGCUGAUUUGUUCCAGAUUCCACUUCAAGACUACGUUAACAACAGGGUCAUCCAGAAUGUUCUCCCUUUCUGCUAUUUCAAGAAUUGCAAGUAUUCUUUGUGUUCUAUCAUGCAAAUGUAAAUACGAUCCCCUGGCCUUUGUGAAGCUGAACUGUAAAUGAAACAAUUGGCAAUUUCCUGCAUCUUAGGGCAAUCUGACUGCUCUGCAGCCCAACCCGCAGGCAGCCCAGCCCCUGCUGUCAUCGCCGAACAGACGAGGAAGGGAGACAUCUAAAGGCAUCCCCGGGAAGUUCACUCUCCUCCUGCACGCGCCGACCUCGGAUUUCGACCACCGGUUUGAUAGAGGCAAGUAUCCCCGUUGUGCAAAAGUAGAUCCAGCGCAGAAACAAAUUAUUUCUGAGAAGCAUUGCGCGGAUUCCCUGCAGUCGUGUCAGAGAGGACAGUCGUGUCUCAGCUCCAGCAGCCACAUACUACAGUAUGCUGCUUGCUUCCUAGCUGCGUUUCUUGAAGAGUUUUUGAUCUGCACUUCCAUGCUUUCCCAUCGCACCCCAAGGUCACUGCUGAAAGGGAAGGUGCAGAUGGAAGCUGAGGUGUAGAGGCACCACCACUCCUACCUGACAGGGGACGUGCAGGAGCAUCAGUAACACACGCAAUAAGCAUUCCAACUUCCAGGAGGCUGCACAGCAUUCCCCACUAGGAGCAAGCAGGAAAGUGGAAAAAGUCUCCUCCACUCCAGAGCUGUCAGUGGAAAUGGCUGUCUUCCCAUCAGGAUAGUGCAGUACAAAGCAGAUGGUGCAUCUGGUCCCGGAUCUGGAGCUGAGGCACCCGCCUCCUUCCCCUCACCUUGUCUGAGAUCGAUGGUAGCUCUGAGGCCCAAAGUGCUCCUUUCUUUCUUUGCCAUCAUUGCCACCCAAAGUGCAGCAGGUCAGGGAGCUGCUGGAGAGGUGACGCAUCAAGGCUUGCUGCAAUGCAUUUUCUCUCUGAAUUCCCCUUUUGGAAGUAAAGCUAAUCACUUUUGGACACCACAGAGUCCCUCCUCCCCAGCACCGCUGGUGUCCAUGCCAUACGUGAGCUCUGCAUCCAUCUGCAAGGCUGCUGGGCCAGGAUUGAAAUACAAAUAUGUACAGAGAGCCAUGGCUGACCUUAGUGCAGCAAGUAAGAACUGUCAAACUGUUCUAUAUGGUGAGGGCUGGUGCCUCUAUAACGUGUGCCUGUACAGAACCAGUUCUACAUGCUAAAUGUAGUCAAAGGCUGGCAAAAAGAUGCAGCGUGCCUGCGAGGCAGCUCUCUGGGUGCAUGAUAACCAACACAGACAGGACUAUGUUAUCAUGAAAGAAAACUAUGUACAUACUUUGUAUCUGCCAUUGGAUUUUGGCCUUGCAAGAAGAACUUCCAUGUGUGCUUCGUGCCCCUUUUAGCGUUUUAUGAACCCUUUGAGUCGGUGUUUGUCUGCUGUGGUGUCCAAAGCAAAGUACAAUGUGGCUUUGCAAGAAGUCUCUAAAUAAUCAAAGGAAAAAUAUUUGUAAACACAUCUCUUGUCUGCCAUGCAGCUUCUCCCUAAUGUGACACGGAUUUUUCCCCACAGGAGGCUGCUAAAUUAUUGCUUAAUACUGAGGCAGCAUCUCACAUACUCCCUCUGGGUUGUCCUCUCACUAUAUAAAGUAGCCUUCACUUCCAGCUAGCAUGAGCCUUAUCCCUCUGGGAGCCACCAGUUUCCACCCCACUUUUCGCAGGAUCAUCCUCUCUGAGAAAUACAGCCGUUUGCUACCAGCUGAGCAUGCCGUACUCCUCCACUCAGGCAGGUUUCAAGCCUCGUUGGAUCCAUAUGCUCCAAAUGAUCCUGCUGAUUUUUCUCCUGGUUUCUGCAUGGGGAUGACUUGUGACUGUCUCAUCCAUGCAAAGGCUGCCAUAUGCUCUUGGGUACCAGCAGGAGCAAGACAGGACGGAUUAUGACCUUCAGAGGACUGCAGCUGCCACCAAAGAAGUACAGGACCUAUGUGUAAGCUUUGAGUUUUCCUGUUAAGACUUGCUGUCUGACACGCCCCUUUGCACUCAGAUUUGUCAUGCAUCUUACAUAAUUACAUUGAAUAAUAUGCUUUGUGGCAAAAAAAUUCUCGAAGAUGUAUCUGUGAACAUACAUUUGUUUUUAAGGCUGUAAGGAUAUGGAAUGUGUAUUCAUUCACUGAGAUGCUCCCAAAAGAGUAGAAGGAUUAGCAAAUGAAAGUAAAAUAGAUCUGAUUUAUGCAGUAAUACAGUACAAAGACUGUGCAAGAAUAAUGCAAACAAUCAUUUUAUAUGUGUUUAUGCACAUUAACUCUCUAAGUGAUUAUACCGUCUCUAACAUCUAGGUUAUCACAGGGUUCUGUAAUGCUUCAAAGGACUAUAGCUGCAAAGAGACAAGCAUAAGUUCCAUUUUGGUAACAGCAAAUGCAUAUUUUUGCUCGCACAACCUGCCUCCUCUGUCAGCUGUACCUGCACUUCUGUCUGCUCUUUGGCUGAUAAAAUGCCACUGACGUCAACUAUAGCAAAGCUCCGUGCUUGAUAUCUGUGCAAAGAGGAAGAGGAUCAGGGCCACACACAAACAAAUGUCAGUCAUCAAGGGCUAAGUGCUCAGAGGAAAGGUAAGUGAAAGGGGCUUUGUGUAACUCUUCCGCCAUCCUCAGAGGUGACAUAAGGUUGGAUCUAGCUAAGGAAGACUGCGAGUUGCCUUCUUUUUACUUCGUGUGCUCUUGGAGGAAAUGCUUUGAAAAGGCUAAAGCCGCUGACAUUUUGGUGCUAUGAGAGGUGGAAUGUUAGCUAGAAAUUAAUGGAAACGCUCCCCUAAGUGUGUGAUCCAUUAAGUUGUUUUGCAACACUGGGAAAUGAAGCAUGGAGUAUUUUACUGAAGUCAGUGUCCCAUGGGGAUGAAAGAAAGAUCAGAAUCUUUCUCUGCAAUAGGCUGAGCUCUGCCAGCAAGGAUGUAGAUAUAAAAACGGAAUAUCUCCAGUUUAGUUGAAAGAAUUGCCCUGAGUUUGAAGACUAACCCAGGGUCUGUCCC